rnacentral:sRNA from 1 species
AUUCAGAAGAAUGGUCGCUUGCACAAGGCCAAUCGCCAAUGCGUCGAUCAGAUGAAUCA